ACUGUCCUAGUAGCUGUGUGUUCACACAGUGAUAAAGAGUGGUACAAAAACCUCGGUCAGUCAGACGUCACAGUGAUGCACUGAUACAGCUGAGAGAUACUGCAGCUGCUGAUGGAGGAUCACAAACAACAUAAUGGCAUGGUUAGCGAUCUCUGGAAGCCUCUGUUAGUUCCUGGAACGUCACAUGAUGCCUGUUCUUCUUUAGAGUAAUUUGUGGACUAAAGGUGUACAGAGCGCCCUCCGGCUGCAAGAUUGAAAGAAGCGGUUUCUUUCUCCAGUGGUUGUGGAAAAAUAUGCAAACUAAUCAGAUUUAGUCUGAAAGCCCACUAUGAGUAUCCCAGCAGUCAAGGACAAUCGAAAAAGAGAGAUUGAACAAUCGCCAAUAAAGAAAAAAUUCAAAGAUUCCACCAUCUCCAGAGAGGAUCUCGACACUGCUAUUGCUAACGGUAUC